ACGUUUGGAUGUGCUAGAUGAAGAUACAUUUGUUCUUACCUCUUCAGCCUCUUCAUUGUCGCAGUCUACAGGCACUGAAUCUUGGUUACUAUCAUCCAAAUAUAUGUCAGCAAAUGUUCUGGCAAAACUCCCUGUUGCCGUAUCUUUGCCAACAGCCAAAGCCAUUUCAUCAUAAUGAUCAAUGCUUUUAUUCAAAAAUGGUUC
rnacentral:lncRNA from 1 species